GACGUAGGGCGCGAGCGUUGUCCGGAUUUAUUGGGCGUAAAGAGCUCGUAGGCGGCUUGUCGCGUCGUUCGUGAAAACCUGCAGCUCAACUGCAGGCUUGCGGUCGAUACGGGCAGGCUAGAGUUCGGUAGGGGAGAGUGGAAUUCCCGGUGUAGCGGUGAAAUGCGCAGAUAUCGGGAAGAACACCCGUGGCGAAGGCGGCUCUCUGGGACGGUACUGACGCUGAGACGCGAAAGCGUGGGGAGCGAACAGG
rnacentral:rRNA from 1 species